AUUGAACGCUGGCGGCAGGCCUAACACAUGCAAGUCGAACGAGUGGCGGACGGGUGCGUAAUGUCUGGGAAACUGCCCGAUGGAGGGGGAUAACUACUGGAAACGGUAGCUAAUCCCGCAUACCAUCGGAUGUGCCCAGAGGGGAUUAGCUAGUAGGUUGGGUAAUGGGUCACCUAGGCGACGAUCCCUAGCUGGUCUGAGAGGAUGACCAGCCACACUGGAACUGAGACACGGUCCAGACUCCUACGGGAGGCAGCAGUGGGGAAUAUUGCACAAGGGGCGCAAGCCGUAUGCAGCCAUGCCGCGUUGAUGAAGAAGGCCUUCGGGUUGUAAAGUACUUUCAGCGGGGAGGCGUUACCCGCAGAAGAAGCACCGGCUAACUCCGUGCCAGCCGCCGCGGUAAUUC
rnacentral:rRNA from 1 species